UACAGAGGGUGCAAGCGUUAAUCGGAUUUACUGGGCGUAAAGCGUGCGUAGGCGGUUCAUUAAGUCGGUUGUGAAAUCCCUGGGCUUAACCUGGGAACUGCAGUCGAUACUGGUGGACUAGAGUACGGUAGAGGGUGGCGGAACUCCGGGUGUAGCGGUGAAAUGCGUAGAUAUCCGGAAGAACACCGAUGGCGAAGGCAACCACCUGGGCCUGUACUGACGCUGAGGUACGAAAGCGUGGGGAGCAAACGGG
rnacentral:rRNA from 1 species